rnacentral:misc_RNA from 1 species
GUAGGAGUGAGCCUGCUCGCGAUGGCGGUAUGUCAUUCAACAUCCUCGGUGAAUGAUUUACCGCAAUCGCGAGCAGGCUCACUCCUAC